UGUGGCUGCCGCCUAUUGGCUAAAGCCGAGGGUCAGCCCCAACGUGGCCCAAUCGGAGCCCGGAUCCACGAAUGGGGAAGAGAAGCUGAACUGCUGUGCAGAGUCGUGGACCGAGGAGGGCGGAGCCGAGACGAACUCUGAGGACAGACUGAUGCAAGAGCCUGCAGUUGCGUCACCUGGGAGCACAAAAACAGAAACUGAACUGAGUUCAUUCCACUUAGUAUCUGCUACCCUGCCUGGCUUCAAUUCCAUGGAACAAGAUAUACCUGUGUCAGGUACCAUCAUUUCCCUGCCUCCUUUUUUGUGCUGUCUCCCUCUAUUUGAUUGUAAGCUCCUUGAGGGCAGGAACUGGCUUUCUUUUUAUUCUUUGUAUCCCCAGUGCUUAUCACAGUGACUGGUACAUAGUGACUGAAUAAAUGUUAAUUAAAUUGGGAUUGGAUCUCAAGACUCUACAAGAGCACCAGUUCUUCAGGCCCAUCAUAGAGCUACAUGGAAGGGGCAAUUUCAUGAGGAUUCCUCAAGAGGAGAAAAGCUCUUCAAAUAACUAAGAGCUGAAAUGGCCACUAAAGAAGAUGUAUUUCCAUCUGCUUUGCUGCAGCACCCGAAGGACCAUUGGGACUUUCCAUCUGACUUACAGCUGAAACCUUCCUGUUUCCCCCAAUUAGAA